rnacentral:tRNA from 1 species
UCCCAUAUGGUUUAUUGGUUAGAAUCCGGCGUUCUCACCGCCGUGGCCCGGGUUCGAUUCACGGUGUGGGAA